AUGGGACCGUUUCUCGCCCACAACCAUCUCAGUAGGGGUGAAUUGAUCACCUUCUCCUUAAGAGGACAAAGACCCAGGAUGACUGUUGUCUAUGAUGCUCUCUUUGACCAUAGAAUGCAGUUGAACGACGAUGAGACCAACAACCUGUUGGACAAACUUCCAUCCCGUGAUUACUAUGUCGGGCUGCCAUUCGUGACCCGUCUGAGAAGGACCAAUGUAAACAUCUGCCAUAUCAUGAAAUUGCCUAAGAGUCUAGCUAUGAUUUGUGGCAUUGAGGCUGAUGAAGCAGGCUUUGUUGGAGUAUGCCUUACAACAACGGGCUCUGUCUCCACAUGUGCGUACGUAGCGGACACGGACGAUCGCAUUGUCUUAAGCGCGAUGGGGUGGAGGGACUUUCUCGUUGGCAAGAAUCUGCACGAUGGACAAGCUAUCAUAGGUACUAUCAGGAAAACCACACGCCAUGACUUGAGGAUGAUGAUCGUCAUCGACAUCAUUUAA
rnacentral:rRNA from 1 species